UGUUUCCAUUAAUCAAGAACGAAAGUUAGGAGGUCCGAAGGCGAUCAGAUACCGCCCUAGUUCUAACCAUAAACGAUGCCAGCCAGCGAUCAGGCUGUGUUCCUCAAAUGACACGCCUGGCAGCUUCCGGGAAACCAAAGCUUUUGGGUUCCGGGGGAAGUAUGGUUGCAAAGCUGAAACUUAAAGGAAUUGACGGAAGCGCACCACCAGGAAUGGAGCCUGCGGUUUAAUUUGACUCAACACGGGAAAGCUCACCCGGUCCGGACACAGGAAGGAUUGACAGAUUGAGAGCUCUUUCUUGAUUCUGUGGUAGGUGGUGCAUGGCCGUUCUUAGUUCGUGGAGUGAUUUGUCUGGUUAAUUCCGAUAACGAUCGAGACUCUAGCCUACUAAAUAGACGCUCCGAUCCUUGAUGUCGGACGUUCUUCUUAGAGGGACACGCGGCGUCUAGCCGCACGAGACAGAGCAAUAACAGGUCUGUAAUGCCCUUAGAUGUCCGGGGCCACACGCGCGCUACAUUGAAGGAAUCAGCGUGUGCUUCCCCUGUCCGACAGGAUUGGGUAACCCGUUGAACCUCCUUCGUGCUGGGGAUAGGAAAUUGUAAUGACUUCCUUGAACGAGGAAUUCCCAGUAAGCGCGAGUCAUUAGCUCGCGUUGAUUACGUCCCUGCGCUUUGUGCACACCGCCCGUCGCUGUUAGCGAUUGAAUGAUUUAGUGAGGUCUUCGGACUGGCGCUCGGAUUAUGGCCUUCGGGUCGAGCCGGGAGCCGGAAAGAUGAUCGAACUUGGUUAUUUAGAGGUAACAAAAGUCGUAACAAGGUUUC
rnacentral:rRNA from 1 species